rnacentral:rRNA from 1 species
GUGCCAGCCGCCGCGGUAAUACCGGCAGCCCAAGUGAUGAUCGAUCUUAUUGGGCCUAAAGCGUCCGUAGCUGGCUGCGCAAGUCCGUCGGGAAAUCCACUCGCCCAACGAGUGGGCGUCCGACGGAAACUGCACAGCUUGGGACCGGAAGGCUCGAAGGGUACGUGCGGGGUAGGAGUGAAAUCCCAUAAUCCCGCACGGACCACCGAUGGCGAAAGCACUUCGAGAAAACGGAUCCGACAGCGAGGGACGAAAGCUAAGAUCGCGAACCGGAUUAGAAACCCGUGUAGUCC